rnacentral:rRNA from 1 species
UACAGGCUUAACACAUGCAAGUCGAGGGGCAGCAUGGUCUUAUCUUGCUAAGGCCGAUGGCGACCGGCGCACGGGUGAGUAACACGUAUCCAACCUGCCGUCUACUCUUGGACAGCCUUCUGAAAGGAAGAUUAAUACAAGAUGGCAUCAUGAGUCCGCAUGUUCACAUGAUUAAAGGUAUUCCGGUAGACGAUGGGGAUGCGUUCCAUUAGAUAGUAGGCGGGGUAACGGCCCACCUAGUCUUCGAUGGAUAGGGGUUCUGAGAGGAAGGUCCCCCACAUUGGAACUGAGACACGGUCCAAACUCCUACGGGAGGCAGCAGUGAGGAAUAUUGGUCAAUGGGCGAGAGCUUGAACCAGCCAAGUAGCGUGAAGGAUGACUGCCCUAUGGGUUGUAAACUUCUUUUAUAAAGGAAUAAAGUCGGGUAUGGAUACCCGUUUGCAUGUACUUUAUGAAUAAGGAUCGGCUAACUCCGUGCCAGCAGCCGCGGUAAUACGGAGGAUCCGAGCGUUAUCCGGAUUUAUUGGGUUUAAAGGGAGCGUAGAUGGAUGUUUAAGUCAGUUGUGAAAGUUUGCGGCUCAACCGUAAAAUUGCAGUUGAUACUGGAUAUCUUGAGUGCAGUUGAGGCAGGCGGAAUUCGUGGUGUAGCGGUGAAAUGCUUAGAUAUCACGAAGAACUCCGAUUGCGAAGGCAGCCUGCUAAGCUGCAACUGACAUUGAGGCUCGAAAGUGUGGGUAUCAAACAGGAUUAGAUACCCUGGUAGUCCACACGGUAAACGAUGAAUACUCGCUGUUUGCGAUAUACUGCAAGCGGCCAAGCGAAAGCGUUAAGUAUUCCACCUGGGGAGUACGCCGGCAACGGUGAAACUCAAAGGAAUUGACAGGGGCCCGCACAAGCGGAGGAACAUGUGGUUUAAUUCGAUGAUACGCGAGGAACCUUACCCGGGCUUAAAUUGCAGAUGAAUUACGGUGAAAGCCGUAAGCCGCAAGGCAUCUGUGAAGGUGCUGCAUGGUUGUCGUCAGCUCGUGCCGUGAGGUGUCGGCUUAAGUGCCAUAACGAGCGCAACCCUUGUUGUCAGUUACUAACAGGUUCCGCUGAGGACUCUGACAAGACUGCCAUCGUAAGAUGUGAGGAAGGUGGGGAUGACGUCAAAUCAGCACGGCCCUUACGUCCGGGGCUACACACGUGUUACAAUGGGGGGUACAGAGGGCCGCUACCACGCGAGUGGAUGCCAAUCCCCAAAACCUCUCUCAGUUCGGACUGGAGUCUGCAACCCGACUCCACGAAGCUGGAUUCGCUAGUAAUCGCGCAUCAGCCACGGCGCGGUGAAUACGUUCCCGGGCCUUGUACACACCGCCCGUCAAGCCAUGGGAGCCGGGGGUACCUGAAGUGCGUAACCGCGAGGAGCGCCCUAGGGUAAAACUGGUGACUGG